CUCUCUUUAGAACUGGGAGCUUCCCAGCUAGCUUGCUGCAGCCGAGGUGUUUUUCAGCUGAAAGGCGCCCCCUGGGUCCUAAGCCUCCUAGACCUUACCAGAUCACUAACCCUGAGCCAAGAGAGGAACUCAGCCAAGUGGAGAGUGGCAGAGAGGUUUUGCUUAGCAGCAGAUCCGUGUGAGACCUGCAGGACUCCAUCCCCAGAGCUUUUCUUUUCCAUCAGUGACUGUGAGUGAAAGCAGCUUUCACAUCGGAGGGUGAAGUGGUGCCACUUAACCUGAACUCUCAAGGUACAUUCUAGGAAAGAGGCGUCAACCCUGACCCUGUGUACUUGGUAUCCAGUUCUAUGCCAGGGCAGGCAAAGUCCAGCAUCUGGGCAACCCAGAAAGCAUGAGGAGGACCCAGCUCAGGGAUUAUCAUCAGGACCGGGUGAGAGGCCAAGGUGACGGGAAUUCAGUCUUCCACCCAACCUGCAAUCUGUGAACCAUGGAAAGGGCUCUCAUAGACACCUUGGGAGACUGUGAACAUGCCCAUUUAGCCAAGGACAAGAGCUGGCUCUGCCAAAGAUCCAAGAACUACCUUAACCCUGCAGCUAUGAGUGGGGGCAGUUUUGUUUGGUUUUUUGGGAGGGGGAGGGUUGAAGCAAGGUGUUACCAUGUAGCCCUGGCUGUCCUAUAAUUCACUAUGUAGACCAGGCCACCCUUGAACUCAAGAGAUCUACCUACCUCUGUCUGCCUCCUGAGUGCUGGAAUUAGACGUGCACCACCUCAACCACCAAAA
rnacentral:lncRNA from 1 species